UACGUAGGGGGCAAGCGUUGUCCGGAUUUACUGGGCGUAAAGAGCGCGCAGGCGGUCGUUCAAGUCGAGUGUGAAAGCUCCCGGCUCAACUGGGGAGGGUCACUCGAUACUGAUCGACUUGAAGGCAGGAGAGGGAAGCGGAAUUCCCGGUGUAGUGGUGAAAUGCGUAGAUAUCGGGAGGAACACCAGUGGCGAAGGCGGCUUCCUGGCCUGUUCUUGACGCUGAGGCGCGAAAGCUAGGGGAGCAAACGGG
rnacentral:rRNA from 1 species